CCUACGGGUGGCAGCAGUGGGGAAUAUUGGACAAUGGGGGCAACCCUGAUCCAGCCAUGCCGCGUGUGUGAAGAAGGCCCUCGGGUUGUAAAGCACUUUCAGUGAGGAAGAACGCCUGGUGGUUAAUACCCAUCAGGAAAGACAUCACUCACAGAAGAAGCACCGGCUAACUCCGUGCCAGCAGCCGCGGUAAUACGGAGGGUGCGAGUGUUAAUCGGAAUUACUGGGCGUAAAGCGCGCGUAGGUGGCUUGAUAAGCCGGUUGUGAAAGCCCCGGGCUCAACCUGGGAACGGCAUCCGGAACUGUCAAGCUAGAGUGCAGGAGAGGAAGGUAGAAUUCCCGGUGUAGCGGUGAAAUGCGUAGAGAUCGGGAGGAAUACCAGUGGCGAAGGCGGCCUUCUGGACUGACACUGACACUGAGGUGCGAAAGCGUGGGUAGCAAACAGGAUUAGAUACCCCUGUAGUC
rnacentral:rRNA from 1 species